rnacentral:rRNA from 1 species
AGUAACGGCGAGUGAAGCGGUAACAGCUCAAAUUUGAAAUCUGGCUCCUACGGAGUCCGAGUUGUAAUUUGUAGAAGAUGCUUUGGGAGGUAGGGCCGGCCUAAGUUCCUUGGAACAGGACAUCAGAGAGGGUGAGAAUCCCGUAUGUGGCCGUGGCCUACGCCCGUGUAAAGCUCUUUCGACGAGUCGAGUUGUUUGGGAAUGCAGCUCAAAAUGGGUGGUAAAUUUCAUCUAAAGCUAAAUAUUGGCCAGAGACCGAUAGCGCACAAGUAGAGUGAUCGAAAGAUGAAAAGCACUUUGGAAAGAGAGUUAAACAGUACGUGAAAUUGUUGAAAGGGAAGCGCUUGCAACCAGACUUGGGUGUCGUGGAUCAUCCGAGGUUCUCCUCGGUGCACUCGACGACGCGCAGGCCAGCAUCGGUUUGGGUGGUUGGAGAAAGGCUCUAGGAACGUAGCUCUCUUCGGGGAGUGUUAUAGCCUAGGGCGCAAUGCAGCCCAUCCGGACCGAGGACCGCGCCUUCGGGCUAGGAUGCUGGCGUAAUGGUUGUAAGCGACCCGUCUUGAAACACGGACCAAGGAGUCUAACAUCUAUGCGAGUGUUUGGGCGUUAAACCCAUACGCGGAAUGAAAGUGAACGUAGGUGAGAACCCGUUAGGGUGCAUCAUCGACCGAUCCUGAUGUCUUCGGAUGGAUUUGAGUAAGAGCAUAGCUGUUGGGA